rnacentral:rRNA from 1 species
CCUACGGGAGGCUGCAGUAGGGAAUAUUGCUCAAUGGGGGAAACCCUGAAGCAGCAACGCCGCGUGGAGGAUGAAGGUUUUCGGAUUGUAAACUCCUUUUGUUAGGGAAGAAAAUGACGGUAUCUAACGAAUAAGCACCGGCUAACUACGUGCCAGCAGCCGCGGUAAUCCGGCGGGUGCAAGCGUUACUCCGAAUCACUGGGCGUAAAGAGCGCGUAGGCGGGAUAGCAAGGCAGAUGUGAAAUCCUAGGGCUUAACCAUAGAACUGCAGUUGAAACUGUUAUUCUAGAGUAUGGGAGAGGUAGGUGGAAUGCGUGGUGUAGGGGUGAAAUCCGUAGAGAUCAAGAAGAAUACUCAUUGCGAAGGCGACAUGCUGGAACAUAACUGACGCUGAUGCGCGAAAGCGUGGGGAGCGAACAGGAUUAGAUACCCUAGUAGUC